CCUUGAUGACGACUGGCGCACGGGUGAGUAACGCGUAUCCAACCUUCCCAUAACUACGGGAUAACCCGUUGAAAGACGGCCUAAUACCGUAUGAUAUCGUUUGCUGACAUCAAAUAACGAUUAAAGGUUUGGCGGUUAUGGAUGGGGAUGCGUCUGAUUAGCUUGUUGGCGGGGUAACGGCCCACCAAGGCUACGAUCAGUAGGGGUUCUGAGAGGAAGGUCCCCCACAUUGGAACUGAGACACGGUCCAAACUCCUACGGGAGGCAGCAGUG
rnacentral:rRNA from 1 species